GUUUCCUGACUGUUGGCAACUCGGGG
rnacentral:piRNA from 1 species